rnacentral:misc_RNA from 1 species
CCGAGUUUACAACUCCCAAACCCCUGUGAACCAUACCCAUAUCGUUGCCUCGGCGGCGCCCCCUCGGGGGACCGCCAGAGGACCCAAACUCUUGCUUUCGUACAAGUUUGUCUGAGUGUUGCUGCAAGCAAAAUAAAUCAAAACUUUCAACAACGGAUCUCUUGGCUCUGGCAUCGAUGAAGAACGCAGCGAAAUGCGAUACGUAAUGUGAAUUGCAGAAUCCAGUGAAUCAUCGAAUCUUUGAACGCACAUUGCGCCCGCCAGUAUUCUGGCGGGCAUGCCUGUCCGAGCGUCAUUUCAACCCUCAAGCCCCUCCGGGUGCUUGGUGUUGGAGACCGGCGAACCCGGCCCCUCCCCGGGGCCCCGGGCGCCGCCUCCCAAAUCCAGUGGCGGUCUCGCCGCAGCCUUCCCUGCGUAGUAGCAUCUUAUUUCGCAUGGGAGAGCGGCGCGGCCACGCCGUUAAACACCCCACUUCUGAACGGUUGACCUCGGAUCAGGUAGGACUACCCGCUGAACUUAAGCAUAUCAAUAAGCGGAGGAGGUUUCCGUAGGUGAACCUGCGGAAGGAUCAUUCAUAAUAAGUGUUCUAUGGCACUUUUUAAAUCCAUAUCCACCUUGUGUGCAAUGUCAGUCGAUCUUCUUCAUGGAGAUCGACCAAACAUCAACCUUUAUCUUUUAACUCUUUGUCUGAAAAAUAUUAUGAAUAAACAAUUCAAAAUA